UCGUCUGCUCUGUUUUUGGAUUUCCUCUUCCUCAAGUAGAACUCUUAGGUUGACGUGAACUCCUCUGUUACAGAACUGUUUGGUUGCACAUCGAGAACACUUUUAGUCCCACAUCACAAAGAGUACAGAGAGAACAACGGCGAGGAUCCUAUAUAAACCAUGGUAACCCAUCGUCCACUUCACGCAGCUGCGUGGUGGGCACAGAGCGAACUAUUCUUUCGCCUUUUACUAAAGAAUACCGUGCGCCCGCCACACAAAGCAGCAUACGCCAAUUUUUUGAGGGCCCAUCCCUAUAUUUGGUGAGGCCCGAUAAAUCAUUAAUAAGAUCACCCUCUGCCUCCUUCGUCCAUUGCCUUCGCCCCACUCACCCCAUCAAUUGAAUCGCAACUAUGUCUCACUAAAUUGUUCUCGUGCUUAACCAAAAGGCUCGAUGAAAUUGCGCUGCAUCUUGUCAAGUUGAAGUAUUCAUGUGUGCUUCGAUAAGCUAUCGCUCGUCAUGGAAAGAAUCAUGUGUUGUUGUCCGGCAUGAUUAGUUUGUGAUUAGAACAUUUUAUGUUCAGAUGGUUUAUGAUAUUCUUUUA